rnacentral:rRNA from 1 species
GAUGAACGCUAGCUACAGGCUUAACACAUGCAAGUCGAGGGGAAACGACAUCGAAAGCUUGCUUUUGAUGGGCGUCGACCGGCGCACGGGUGAGUAACGCGUAUCCAACCUGCCCACCACUUGGGGAUAACCUUGCGAAAGUAAGACUAAUACCCAAUGAUAUCCCACGAAGACAUCUGAAUGGGAUUAAAGAUUUAUCGGUGAUGGAUGGGGAUGCGUCUGAUUAGCUUGUUGGCGGGGUAACGGCCCACCAAGGCAACGAUCAGUAGGGGUUCUGAGAGGAAGGUCCCCCACAUUGGAACUGAGACACGGUCCAAACUCCUACGGGAGGCAGCAGCGAGGAAUAUUGGUCAAUGGGCGAGAGCCUGAACCAGCCAAGUAGCGUGCAGGAAGACGGCCCUAUGGGUUGUAAACUGCUUUUAUAAGGGAAUAAAGUGGGUCACGUGUGACUUUUUGCAUGUACCUUAUGAAUAAGGACCGGCUAAUUCCGUG